UACAGAGGGUGCGAGCGUUGUCCGGAAUCACUGGGCGUAAAGGGCGCGUAGGCGGCUUGAUAAGGUUGCGGUGAAAGCCCGGGGCUCAACCCCGGGUCGGCCGUGGCAACUGUCGAGCUGGAGCACUGUAGAGGCAGGUGGAAUUCCGGGUGUAGCGGUGGAAUGCGUAGAGAUCCGGAAGAACACCGGUGGCGAAGGCGGCCUGCUGGGCAGUGGCUGACGCUGAGGCGCGAAAGCAUGGGUAGCAAACAGGG
rnacentral:rRNA from 1 species